GAUGAACGCUAGCGGCAGGCUUAAUACAUGCAAGUCAAGGGGGUAGCAAUACAACCGGCGCACGGGUGAGUAACACGUACACAACAUACCAUAUACUGAGGUAUAGCUUCGGGAAACUGAAGGUAAUCCCUCAUAGUAUUGUGAAAGGGCAUCUUUUUACAAUUAAAGUUUCGACGGUAUAUGAUUGGUGUGCGUUUUGAUUAGCUAGUUGGUAGGGUAACGGCCUACCAAGGCAACGAUCAAUAGCUGGCGUGAGAGCGCGACCAGCCACACUGGAACUGAGACACGGUCCAGACUCCUACGGGAGGCAGCAGUAGGGAAUAUUGGACAAUGGGCGAAAGCCUGAUCCAGCCAUGCCGCGUGAUAGAUGAAGGCCCUCUGGGUUGUAAAUAUCUUUUAUCUGGGAAGAAACACUUCUAUUCUUAGAAGCUUGACGGUACCAGAGGAAUAAGCACCGGCUAACUCCGUGCCAGCAGCCGCGGUAAAGUAGUCGUG
rnacentral:rRNA from 1 species